rnacentral:rRNA from 1 species
AUUAUAGUAGCGAAGUCCGGAUACAUGCUGUCAAGAAAAGCCGCUAUUGCGCCAUAUGUACCCGUACCGUAAACCGACACAGGUGGAUGAGGAGAGAAUCCUAAGGCCGGCGGGAGAAGUGUUGUUAAGGAACUCGGCAAAAUGGCCCCGUAACUUCGGGAGAAGGGGCGCCCAGAAAUGGGCCGCAGAGAAAAGGCUCAAGCAACUGUUUAGCAAAAACACAGGUCUAUGCGAAACCGAAAGGUGAGGUAUAUGGGCUGACGCCUGCCCGGUGCUGGAAGGUUAAGGGGAGAGGUUAGCCGCAAGGCGAAGCUUUGAACUUAAGCCCCAGUAAACGGCGGCCGUAACAAUAACGGUCCUAAGGUAGCGAAAUUCCUUGUCGGGUAAGUUCCGACCCGCACGAAAGGCGUAAUGAUUUGAGCACUGUCUCGACAACACACCCGGUGAAAUUGAAAUACCAGUGAAGAUGCUGGUUACCUGCGCCAGGACGGAAAGACCCCAUGGAGCUUUACUCUAGUUUGAUACUGGGACCCGGUAUGACAUGUACAGGAUAGGUGGGAGGCAGAGAAUUAAUGACGCCAGUCAUUAAGGAGCCGCUGUUGGGAUACCACCCUUGUGAUGCCAGGUUUCUAACGAGCUGCCGUGAACCGGCAGGCGGACAAUGUCAGGCGGGGAGUUUGACUGGGGCGGUCGCCUCCGAAAGGGUAUCGGAGGCGCUCAAAGGUUCCCUCAGAAUGGUUGGAAACCAUUCGGAGAGUGCAAAGGCAGAAGGGAGCCUGACAGCGACACCGACGGGUGGAGCAGGUACGAAAGUAGGACUUAGUGAUCCGGUGGUAUAAAGUGGGAUUGCCAUCGCUCAACGGAUAAAAGCUACCCUGGGAUAACAGGCUUAUCACUCCCAAGAGUUCACAUCGACGGAGUGGUUUGGCACCUCGAUGUCGGCUCAUCGCAUCCUGGGGCUGGAGUAGGUCCCAAGGGUUGGGCUGUUCGCCCAUUAAAGCGGUACGCGAGCUGGGUUCAGAACGUCGUGAGACAGUUCGGUCCCUAUCCGGCGCGGGCGUAAGAGAUUUGAGAGGAGCUGUCCUUAGUACGAGAGGACCGGGAUGGACGGACCACUGGUGUAUCUGUUGCACCACCAGGUGCACGGCAGAGUAGCCAAGUCCGGACGGGAUAAACGCUGAAGGCAUCUAAGCGUGAAGCCCCCCUCAAGAUGAGAUCUCUCAUUCGAAAGAAGUAAGACCCCUUGAAGACGACAAGGUAGAUAGGGCAGAGGUGGAAGGGCAGUAAUGUCCGGAGCUGACUGUUACUAAUCGGUCGAGGGCUUGACC